CUAGUACUACCUCCGUCCGGAAAUACUUGUCGAAGAAAUGCAUAAAAAUGGAUGCAUCUAGAACUAAAAUACAUCUAGAUACAUCCAUUCCUCCGACAAGUAUUUCCGGACGGAGGGAGUAUCAU
rnacentral:pre_miRNA from 1 species